GAGCAUUGGAACCACCUGAUCCCAUCCCGAACUCAGCAGUGAAACGAUGCAUCGCCG
rnacentral:rRNA from 1 species